rnacentral:miRNA from 1 species
ACCUUAGAGACCAACUAAGUUUGUUAUUGGUAUGAGCUUUCGUGUGCAUGCACAUGAAAGCUCAUACCAAUAACAAACUUAGUUGGUCUCUAAGGU